CUAUUAUUUAAAAUGUAAGUAUAAAAAUUAGAGUAGUAUUAGUGGGUAUGUUCUUGAAACUUAAUAAAUUUGGCGGUAUUUUAUUCUAUUUAGAGGAACUUGUUUUAUAAUUGAUAAUCCACAUUAAAUCUUACUUAAUUUCUUAAAAUUUGUAUAUCGUCGUCAUCAGAAUAUCUAAAAAAAGAAAAAAUUUUCUAAAAUUUUUAUUUUUAAUUAUGUCAGAUCAAGGUGCAGUUUAUAAUUAAGAAAAAAUGAGUUACAAUAAAUUUAUUUAAAAUGGAUAUAGAAUUUAAAUAUUUUGUUGAAAGUGGAUUUAAUAGUAAAAUUAGAUAUAGAAAUGGUUUGAUUAUAGUUUUAAAAUAUGCACAUAUCGCCCG
rnacentral:rRNA from 1 species